rnacentral:rRNA from 1 species
UACGUAGGGGGCUAGCGUUGUCCGGAAUCAUUGGGCGUAGAGAGCGUGUAGGCGGCCCGGUAAGUCCGCUGUAAAAGUCAAAGGCUCAACCUUUGAAUGUCAGUGGAUACUGCCGGGCUAGAGUCCGGAAGAGGCGAGUGGAACUCCUGGUGUAGCGGUGGAAUGCGCAGAUAUCAGGAGGAACACCGGUGGCGAAGGCGCUCAUCUGGCCCAAUACUGACGCUGAGGCGCGAAAGCUAGGGGAGCAAACGGG